rnacentral:rRNA from 1 species
AUACGGAGGGGGCAAACGUUGUUCGGAAUUACUGGGCAUAAAGAGCUCGUAGGCGGUCUGCCAGGUCUGGGGUGAAAUCCCUCGGCACAACCGAGGAACUGCCUCAGAAACCGGCAGGCUAGAGGGCAGGAGGGGAGAGCGGAAUUCCUGGUGGAGCGGUGAAAUGCGUAGAUAUCAGGAGGAACGCCGGCGGCGAAAGCGGCUCUCUGGUCUGUUCCUGACGCUGAGGAGCGAAAGCUAGGGUAGCAAACAGGAUUAGAAACCCCAGUAGUCC